rfam:Drosophila persimilis strain MSH-3 cont1.010497, whole genome shotgun sequence.
AUAAUAAACGUGCUACCAUGUAAAGCAACUUCAGACCAUAGUAAUAAGGGAAUAAUAUGAAAUAUUGAAAUAUUAUGGUCUGAAGUUGCUUUACAUGGUAGCACGUUUGCUAC